UACGUAGGGGGCAAGCGUUGUCCGGAUUUAUUGGGCGUAAAGCGCACGCAGGCGGUCUGCCAAGUUCGGAGUGACAGUUUCCGGCUUAACCGGAAAAGGUCUUCGAAAACUGGUGGACUUGAGUACUUAAGAGGAUCGCGGAAUUCCCGGUGUAGAGGUGAAAUUCGUAGAUAUCGGGAGGAACACCAGUGGCGAAGGCGGCGAUCUGGGAAGAUACUGACGCUGAGGUGCGAAAGCGUGGGGAGCAAACAGG
rnacentral:rRNA from 1 species